rnacentral:rRNA from 1 species
AGAGUUUGAUCAUGGCUCAGAACGAACGCUGGCGGCGUGGAUAAGACAUGCAAGUCGAACGAGACAUUGUUUGUAGCAAUACAGACGAUGUCUAGUGGCGCAAGGGUGCGUAACACGUGGGGAAUCUACCGAGAAGUGGGGGAUAGCUCGCCGAAAGGCGAAUUAAUACCGCAUGUGGCUAAAGAAGACAUCUUCCUGACGCCAAAGCCGGGGCAACCUGGCGCUUUUUGAUGACCCCGCGGCCUAUCAGCUAGUUGGUGAGGUAACGGCUCACCAAGGCGAUGACGGAUAGCUGGUCUGAGAGGACGACCAGCCACACUGGAACUGAGACACGGUCCAGACACCUACGGGUGGCAGCAGUCGAGAAUUUUUCUCAAUGGGGGAAACCCUGAAGGAGCGACGCCGCGUGGAGGAUGAAGGUCUUCGGAUUGUAAACUCCUGUCAUUAGGGAACAAUUGUCGCCGAUUAACUACCGGCGGCUUGAUAGUACCUGAAGAGGA